AGGACGAACGCUGGCGGCGUGCUUAACACAUGCAAGUCGAGCGGAAAGGCCCUUCGGGGUACUCGAGCGGCGAACUGGUGAGUAACACGUGAGUAAUCUGCCCCUAGCUCUGGGAUAGCUCCGGGAAAACCGGGAUUAAUACCGGAUACGACCACCUUAGACAUCUUUUGUGGUGGAAAGAAUUUCGGCUAGGGAUGAGCUCGCGGCCUAUCAGCUUGUUGGUGGGGUAACGCCUACCAAGGCGACGACGGGUAGCCGGCCUGAGAGGGCGACCGGCCACACUGGGACUGAGACACGGCCCAGACUCCUACGGGAGGCAGCAGUGGGGAAUAUUGCGCAAUGGGCGAAAGCCUGACGCAGCGACGCCGCGUGGGGAUGAAGGCCUUCGGGUUGUAAAGCUCUUUCGCUCGGGACGAUAAUGACGGUACCGAGAUAAGAAGCCCGGCUAACUUCGCGCCAGCAGCCGC
rnacentral:rRNA from 1 species